rnacentral:rRNA from 1 species
CGUCCAGACUCCUACGGGAGGCAGCAGUGGGGGAUAUUGCACAAUGGGGGGAACCCUGAUGCAGCGACGCCGCGUGGGUGAAGGAGUGCUUCGGCAUGUAAAGCCCUAUCGGCAGGGAAGAAGCAAGACGGUACCUGACUAAGAAGCCCCGGCUAACUACGUGCCAGCAGCCGCGGUAAUACGUAGGGGGCAAGCGUUAUCCGGAUUUACUAGGUGUAAAGGGAGCGUAGACGGUUACGCAAGUCUGGAGUGAAAGGCGGGGGCCCAACCCCCGGACUGCUUUGGAAACUGUAUAACUGGAGUGCAGGAGAGGUAAGUGGAAUUCCUAGUGUAGCGGUGAAAUGCGUAGAUAUCAGGAGGAACACCGGUGGCGAAGGCGGCCUGCUGGACUGCAACUGACGUUGAGGCCCGAAAGCGUGGGGAGCAAACAGGAUUAGAUACCCCCGUA